rnacentral:lncRNA from 1 species
AUUGCCUACACGUCAUCAUUUCAUCGUUGUUGUGUUUACAUUAACGUUUACGUUAAUCUACACCCCGCCUCCAGCAGCGCGAGUCACGUUUACGUUAAUCUACACCCGCCUCCAGCAGCGCGAGUCACGUUUACGUUAAUCUACACCUGCCUCCAGCAGCGCGAGUCACGUUUACGUCUAGCUCUUUGUGUGUGUUUAAACUACUGCUGUCACAAAAUUUUUUGUAUGUUUUCUGCAUACAGUAUGGAGCCUCACAAAUGCCUGGUAUGUUUAUCUUGGGCUGAAAUGCCCAAACUAUAGUUAAUAUGAAUUCCAUAGUUCCUGUGGAUUUUGAGGUCUUGCCUCAGAAAAUUGUGUUUUUGAUGUUUGCCCUCAAGUGAUCAGCAGUUUAGAGAGAGAGAGAGAGAGAGUGUGUGUGUGUGUGUGUGUGUGUGUGUGUGUGUGUGUGUGUGUGUGUGUGUGUGUGUGUGUGUGUGUGUAGAGAGAGAGAGAGUAGUAUUAUUGACUAAAAAGGUACUUCACUGAGUCUUUAUUGAAUCAGAGGGAAAUGUUUUGACAGUCAUGGUUAUCAUUGCAACAAUCCUGCAUUAUAAUCUUGUUUCAAUCCAGAUAACCUAAAUCUAUUGAUGGCUUAUGUUGUAUGACUAAAUCUGUCCAUAUUUCCUCAAAACUUACUAGAAGACACUAGAAGACAUCAUGUGAGGUUUUUUUUUUUUUUUUAUACUCCUGGGGAGCAUACCCCAAACCCCCCAAGGAUUGGUUUUUCACACAGUACAAUUUAAGUAUACAGGUGAUGGUCAUAUAAUUAGAAUAUCAUCAAAAAGUUGAUUUAUUUCAUUAAUUCCAUUCAAAAAGUGAAACUUGUAUAUAAUAUUCAUUCAUUACACACAGACUGAUAUAUUUCAAAUGUUUAUUUCUUUUAAUUUUGAUGAUUAUAACUGACAACUAAGAAAAAUCCCAAACUCAGUAUCUCAGAAAAUUAGAAUAUAACUUAAGACCAACACAAAGAAAGGAUUUUUAGAAAUCUUGGCCAACUAAAACGUAUAAAAGUGAAA